UACGUAGGUGACGAGCGUUGUCCGGAUUUACUGGGCGUAAAGAGCGCGCAGGCGGUCGAUCAAGUCGAGUGUGAAAGCCCCCGGCUCAACUGGGGAGGGUCAUUCGAUACUGAUCGACUCGAAGGCAGGAGAGGGUAGUGGAAUUCCCGGUGUAGUGGUGAAAUGCGUAGAUAUCAGGAGGAACACCGGUGGCGAAAGCGCUCAUCUGGCCCAAUACUGACGCUCAUGUGCGAAAGCGUGGGGAGCGAACGGG
rnacentral:rRNA from 1 species